CUGUCCUACGGGGCGCAGCAGUGAGGAAUAUUGGUCAAUGGGCGGAAGCCUGAACCAGCCAAGUCGCGUGAGGGAAUAAGGCCCUACGGGUCGUAAACCUCUUUUGCCGGGGAGCAAGGGCCGGGACGCGUCCCGGCCCGGAGAGUACCCGGAGAAAAAGCAUCGGCUAACUCCGUGCCAGCAGCCGCGGUAAUACGGAGGAUGCGAGCGUUAUCCGGAUUUAUUGGGUUUAAUGGGUGCGUAGGCGGAUUUUUAAGUCAGCGGUAAAAUGUCCGGGCUCAAUCCGGGCCGGCCGUUGAAACUGG
rnacentral:rRNA from 1 species